rnacentral:rRNA from 1 species
GUGACUGCGGAGGAUCAUUAUUGGAAUGAAAUCUUGGCUGCUGCUAUUGCUUGGGAGGCAAUGUGCACGCUGUUUGUCUAUUUCUUCCUGUGCACUAUUUUGUAGACCUUUGCCUGUCUAUGUAUCACAUAACCGUAUGAAUGGAUUGUUAAUACAUAUAUAUAUGUAUACAACUUUCAACAAUGGAUCUCUUGGCUCUCGCAUCGAUGAAGAACGCAGCGAAAUGCGAUAAGUAAUGUGAAUUGCAGAAUUCAGUGAAUCAUCGAAUCUUUGAACGCAUCUUGCGCUCCUUGGUAUUCCGAAGAGCAUGCUUGUUUGAGUGUCAUUAGUCUCUCUCAAAAUUAUUUGAGUAUUUGGGAGUCUUUUUUGCUGGCAGUUGUUUGAAGCUCCAGCUCUCCUUAAAUCCCUUGAGGAUGAAAUGUUUGGUGUGUGUGAUAAUCGUCUCUAUACCAAACUAGUAGUCCCUGCUAUCUAAUGAUUGACCUCAAAUCAAGCAAGACUACCCGCUGAACUUAAGCAUAUCAAUAAGCGGAGGAAAUGAAGACCUCGGAUCANGUANGAAUACCCGCUGAACUUAAGCAUAUCAAUAAGCGGAGGAA